UACGGGGGGGGCAAGCGUUGUUCGGAAUUACUGGGCGUAAAGGGCUCGUAGGCGGCCAACUAAGUCAAACGUGAAAUCCCUCGGCUUAACCGGGGAACUGCGCUUGAUACUGGAUGGCUUGAGAUUGGGAGAGGGAUGCGGAAUUCCAGGUGUAGCGGUGAAAUGCGUAGAUAUCUGGAGGAACACCGGUGGCGAAGGCGGCAUCCUGGACCGGCAUUGACGCUGAGGCGCGAAAGCUAGGGGAGCAAACGGG
rnacentral:rRNA from 1 species